UAAGGAGAGGGAAACCACAAACUUCAGCAAAACCGAAGGCAUAAGAUCAACAUUAACGGUGAUACGUGUCGUCGUCUCGUGCUUCUCUUUCUCUUUCUCUUUUUCUCGACAGAAUCAAUGGCCUUGCCUCCGCCCAUGGCGUUUCUGUUGAUCUCUUUGACGGACCAGUAUUAACACGGCGGCGGAGCAGAAUCCGGCGAAGCCCGUGGUGGAGACGAAGAGCGCGAUGCGGAGGGAGACGCGAGAAGAUCAAGCCUCAGCUAGGAAAAACUGUGUAAAGUUCAUCCCUUUAGGCUCAAGUCACUGUGCUGACAAUCGCAAGGGAACAACAAACCUGACAUUGAGCCUUUGAUGACUUAAACGAAGUUUUGCAGGUGAAGCUUUGUUGUUACAAGAUGUGUUUCUUCUCCUUCAAGUGUUUGUCCUUAUCAGGUUUCUGAGUCUACCACCACAACCCUCCACAGGGACAUUGUUACAAGAUGUGUUUCAUCUCAUCACAGAGGAUGUGGAUUUAAAGCCUAUGGAAGCUAACGUCACGCUUGGUUGCGGUCAGAGAUAGACAGGUCUGUUCCAGAACCGUCAAGCUGUGAACGGUGUUCUCGGGCUUGGUGUGAAGGACUACUCUGUUCCUAGCCUUCUUGCAAAGGCCAAACUCGCCGAACAACGAGACAAGAUUAAUAAGGACCUGUUGAUAUGCUUUCGCUUCAGUUUUUGCAGGUGAAGCUUGUGACAAGAAGGACCUGUUGAUUGAGGCUACUACUCAGAUCAGAACAUUGCUUUGUAGUGGUAAGAGUCAUCCUGUUUAAUUUAGUUUUGCUAGACUACACUGCAAUGUGAUCCCUUUGUGUAUUGUAUUGUGUGUAUUUUGUGUGUAUUGUGUGUGUUCUG